UUGCCAAGCAGUGCUCAAAUAACAUUAAGGUUUUCUCUCCUUCUCACACCAUCCCGUCAGCAAGAAGGCUGGAGGUAAACAAGAAGCUGUGAGGGGACACAGACAGGACAGCUGGCCCCAAGUGACCAAAGGAACAUUCCAUACUAUGUGUAAUCAUGCUCACUAUAAAAAGCUACAGGAAGGAGGAAGAAAUAAGGAGGAAGACGUAAACUCAGCUGUCAAGAAAAUAUAGUUCCAGUUACAGUUUGUGUGCUUACCUGCAAAAAUGCUCAUUUUGUUUACUCUCAGGCUCAUAUCUUUGAAAAUGGUCCACUGAAAAUAGUCAGCAGAUGCAACACUAUGUUCAGUUAAGUGUUUUAUUUGAACAAAAAUGUUCUUUCCAACAGCAGGAAAUUCAGGGCUUUAUUGUUAUUCUUAGUGUUCUGCAAUUUUGGACCCUUCUACCAAUGUGUAUUCUGCUAUUUUUCUUCAUUCCAAUGAUAUAUUGUCUUAUUUUUCCUUUUCCUCUAGGUAACUAUUAGAACCCUUGUAAAUUCAAAUUUUAAAAAAAAAGUAGGAAUUUCCCAAAUGUCUGUUAUCAUUCCUGUUACAGAUAGUUGAACAGUUGAGGCAGACUCUGCUGAUUUUGUAGUAUCUGCCUAUAUGCAGCUUCUAAAUUAUUUUUGAUGUUUGUGAUGAUAAGAGCACUCAGCUAGAGUCCCUCAUCAAGGUGGCAACUGGAACUCUGAUAAGUCUGAUAACUCUGUUCAGUCCUAGAAGGAUGAUUUUGUUUGUCAAUUCUGCAUGAAUAUACCUUACAUUUGGAACCAAGCAUUGCUAGGAAAUGUACUGGCUUGAAAUGAAGAAUAGAAAUAAAAUGGCAUGUGUAUUUGGAAAAUAAGAAUGGUUUAGCCAGAGCAUUUCUCAUAGAACGUCAAACCAGCUUGGUUGGAAGUCAACCUAGAAUACAGCUAGAACAUGUUUUUAAGCAGAGUCAGAAUCUGGAAGUGCUCAAGGAAUAUGCUCAGGACAGAGCAUAUUUUAAGAUGAUGAGAAGAACAAUGAAGACAAAAUAACUCAGGGUUUCUUACUUUAUGAUUGUGGAUUUGGUCUGUUUCCUAAGUAAAAGGUAUUUUAUUUCUGCAUGUAUUAUAUACCACAACUGUUAAGUAUCUUUAAGGAGCUAAAUUAUACACAUAGGGGGCACUUAAAGGCAGGCUUCAAAGCAGGACUCAGCACAGUGUUUAAGAGAUCUUCACUGUGGAAAUAUUGGCACACAGGCUUAUAGGUCUCAGUUCUUCACUGUGUCUAGGGGAUACAGUAAAGUAGACAAGGAAAGAAAUCUCAAGAAAAUUUAAAUGAAUACAAGUCUAAUACUCUUGCUAUGCACUCUGCAAUGAGAAUAAAAAGCAGGUGUAAAAGCUACUUUCUUAAAUCAAUGAUCUUGGCUUUCAGAUGAAAAAGACUCAAUUCAAAAGAUGCAAUAAGUAUGCUGUUGAAGAGAAGGCAAUUGAAUAAUAUGUCAACCCAGUAAGAUCAAUGAUAUAUACAUUUUCUGCUAUAGACUAUCAUGUCUUCUCUUUGAUCCUAACAUUCUACGGUUUCCACAUGUGGGUUGGUAUUAUCUUUAACUGUUUGGUACAAUUUGUCUUCUACUCUAUUAUAUAGAUUUAUCUUGCUAAAGUUAUCAAAAGUAAGAAGUGGUGAAGACAUAUAGCUGUAUACUACACUGUGAAAGAGCUUUCAUAACGCCUAAGUUAUAAAUUAUGUGAUUUCCUACACAUGGAUAUGUUAUGAACCGUCUCUGAGACAGAGUAAAUGAAGUUCCUGCUAAUAAAUCCUUUGGGAUCCCCUGGAAUCAGAGUGAAAUGACACUGAAUGAUUGGUGCAUACAUAUGAGGCAGGGUUAUUUUAAAACAAUUUAAUUAAAGUGUAAAGGAGGUAUGCAGCUGUUUUAGUUCUUUACAACAAAAAUAUAAA